rnacentral:rRNA from 1 species
UCCAGACUCCUACGGGAGGCAGCAGUGGGGGAUAUUGCACAAUGGGGGGAACCCUGAUGCAGCGACGCCGCGUGGGUGAAGGAGCGUUUCGGCGCGUAAAGCCCUAUCGGCAGGGAAGAAGGAGGACGGUACCUGACUAAGAAGCCCCGGCUAACUACGUGCCAGCAGCCGCGGUAAUACGUAGGGGGCAAGCGUUAUCCGGAUUUACUGGGUGUAAAGGGGGCGCAGACGGCAGCGCAAGCCAGGAGUGAAAGCCCGGGGCCCAACCCCGGGACUGCUCUUGGAACUGCGCGGCUGGAGUGCAGGAGGGGCAGGCGGAAUUCCUGGUGUAGCGGUGAAAUGCGUAGAUAUCAGGAGGAACACCGGUGGCGAAGGCGGCCUGCUGGACUGCAACUGACGUUGAGGCCCGAAAGCGUGGGGAGCAAACAGGAUUAGAUACCCCUGUAC